UACGAAGGGUGCAAGCGUUACUCGGAAUUACUGGGCGUAAAGCGUGCGUAGGUGGCCUGUUAAGUCUGAUGUGAAAGCCCCGGGCUCAACCUGGGAAUUGCAUUGGAUACUGGCAGGCUAGAGUGCGGUAGAGGGUAGUGGAAUUCCCGGUGUAGCCGUGAAAUGCGUAGAGAUCGGGAGGACCACCAGUGGCGAAGGCGACUACCUGGCCCAGCACUGACGCUGAGGCACGAAAGCGUGGGGAGCAAACAGA
rnacentral:rRNA from 1 species